rnacentral:rRNA from 1 species
GACGAACGCUGGCGGCGUGCUUAACACAUGCAAGUCGAACGGAAAGGCCCUGCUUUUGUGGGGUGCUCGAGUGGCGAACGGGUGAGUAACACGUGAGUAACCUGCCCUUGACUUUGGGAUAACUUCAGGAAACUGGGGCUAAUACCGGAUAGGAUCUCCUGCUGCAUGGUGGGGGUUGGAAAGUUUCGGCGGUUGGGGAUGGACUCGCGGCUUAUCAGCUUGUUGGUGGGGUAGUGGCUUACCAAGGCUUUGACGGGUAGCCGGCCUGAGAGGGUGACCGGCCACAUUGGGACUGAGAUACGGACCAGACUCCUACGGGAGGCAGCAGUGGGGAAUAUUGCACAGUGGGCGGAAGCCUGAUGCAGCAACGCCGCGUGCGGGAUGACGGCCUUCGGGUUGUAAACCGCUUUCGCCUGUGACGAAGCGUGAGUGACGGUAAUGGGUAAAGAAGCACCGGCUAACUACGUG